rnacentral:lncRNA from 1 species
CAUCAAGCCUCUAGUGAGUGACCCUAAAGGAUUCUUGCAGCAGCACAUCCGGAGAGACUUGGAGCAGUUGACAAAGACGCUGGGGAAGAGUGAUGAUGAGACCACCCAUGUGGUCCACCUCAGCUGCCUUCUCAAAGAGCAGCACCCACUCCCUGACUGGAGACAUUUAAAUUUUGAUGCAAAAUUGUCAAAAAAAGGACAUAGAAACAAUUGGGAAAAACAUGUCAAAGCUCUUCUUCUACCUGAACUGGAGGUAAGUGGUGAGUGGUGACCACUCCUUAUCCCUCUGUCC